rnacentral:lncRNA from 1 species
UUCCUUAGCUGGUUCAUAUGUUUCUCUCUUUUCAUCAAUAGUCUCCAGAAUGCCAUCAGAAUCAUUCGUACGUCUCUCCACAGGAGCUUGGAGUCCAGUAGGUGCCUCAGCUACAAUCUCAACAUCAGCAUUGUUUGCAAUGCUUGCAGGUUCUGUGUUCUCGUUUGCCUUUUCUGGUUCUGGAUUUUGGUCUUGCUGACCAUCAUUUGUUUGCUCAAUAGCAUUGUCAACAUUGGCAUUGCUUGUUAUGCUUGCAGGUUCUGUGUUCUCAUUUGCCUCUUCUGGUUCUUGAUUUUGGUCUUGCUGACCAACAUCUGUUUGCUCAAUAGCAUUAUCAGUUUUCAGCGUGUCUUCCUGCACAGAGUCAUCAUUCACUGUAACACCUAAAUCUUGUUGGUCAUCAC